UACGUAGGGCGCAAGCGCUGUCCGGAAUUAUUGGGCGUAAAGAGCUCGUAGGCGGUCUGUCGCGUCGGAUGUGAAAGCCCGGGGCUUAACCCCGGGUCUGCAUUCGAUACGGGCAGGCUGGAGUUCGGUAGGGGAGACUGGAAUUCCUGGUGUAGCGGUGAAAUGCGCAGAUAUCAGGAGGAACACCGGUGGCGAAGGCGGGUCUCUGGGCCGAUACUGACGCUGAGGAGCGAAAGCGUGGGGAGCGAACAGG
rnacentral:rRNA from 1 species